GACAGAGGCCUCGAGCGUUAGGCGGAAUCACUGGGCUUAAAGCGCGUGUAGGCGGAAGAGUAAGUACCUUGUGAAAUCCCACGGCUCACCCGUGGAACCGCUGGGUAUACUGCCCUUCUUGGGCCAUUCAGGGGCGACUGGAACAAUCGGUGGAGCGGUGAAAUGCGUAGAUAUCGCUUGGAACGCCGACGGUGAAAACAGGUCGCUGGGAAUGUGCCGACGCUGAGACACGAAAGCCAGGGGAGCAAACGGG
rnacentral:rRNA from 1 species